rnacentral:tRNA from 1 species
UGGGGUGUAGCUCACUGGUAGAGCUCAAGUUUAGGGUAUGUGAGGCUCUAGGUUCAAGUCCCAACAUCCCUG